GACGUAGGGCGCGAGCGUUGUCCGGAUUUAUUGGGCGUAAAGAGCUCGUAGGCGGUUUGUCGCGUCUGCUGUGAAAACUCGGGGCUUAACUCCGGGCCUGCAGUGGGUACGGGCAGACUAGAGUGCGGUAGGGGAGACUGGAAUUCCUGGUGUAGCGGUGAAAUGCGCAGAUAUCAGGAGGAACACCAAUGGCGAAGGCAGCUCGCUGGGACGGUACUGACGCUGAGGCGCGAAAGCGUGGGGAGCAAACAGG
rnacentral:rRNA from 1 species